rnacentral:tRNA from 1 species
GGAGCGGUAGUUCAGUUGGUUAGAAUACCGGCCUGUCACGCCGGGGGGCGCGGGUUCGAGUCCCGUCCACUCCGCCA